AAAGACUUGACGGUACUUCACACCGACCUAGAGGAGCCUGUCCAAUAACCGAUACUCCACGAUUAACCCCACCCACUCUAGCCCCAACAGUCUAUAUACCGCCGUCGCCAGCUUACCUUGUGAAAGAAAUAAAGUGAGCAAAACAAGCCACCCUUAGCACGACAGGUCGAGGUGUAACUAAUGAGUGGGUAAAAGAUGGGCUACAUUUUCUUAACACAGAAAACACGAAUAAACUAUGAAACUAGAAACUGAAGGCGGAUUUAGCAGUACGAUAAGAACAGACUACUUA
rnacentral:rRNA from 3 species